rnacentral:rRNA from 1 species
GACGAACGCUGGCGGCGUGCUUAACACAUGCAAGUCGAACGGAAAGGCCCUGCUUUUGUGGGGUGCUCGAGUGGCGAACGGGUGAGUAACACGUGAGUAACCUGCCCUUGACUUUGGGAUAACUUCAGGAAACUGGGGCUAAUACCGGAUAGGAGCUCCUGCUGCAUGGUGGGGGUUGGAAAGUUUCGGCGGUUGGGGAUGGACUCGCGGCUUAUCAGCUUGUUGGUGGGGUAGUGGCUUACCAAGGCUUUGACGGGUAGCCGGCCUGAGAGGGUGACCGGCCACAUUGGGACUGAGAUACGGCCCAGACUCCUACGGGAGGCAGCAGUGGGGAAUAUUGCACAAUGGGCGGAAGCCUGAUGCAGCAACGCCGCGUGCGGGAUGACGGCCUUCGGGUUGUAAACCGCUUUCGCCUGUGACGAAGCGUGAGUGACGGUAAUGGGUAAAGAAGCACCGGCUAACUACGUGCCAGCAGCCGCGGUGAUACGUGGGGUGCGAGCGUUGUCCGGAUUUAUUGGGCGUAAAGGGCUCGUAGGUGGUUGAUCGCGUCGGAAGUGUAAUCUUGGGGCUUAACCCUGAGCGUGCUUUCGAUACGGGUUGACUUGAGGAAGGUAGGGGAGAAUGGAAUUCCUGGUGGAGCGGUGGAAUGCGCAGAUAUCAGGAGGAACACCAGUGGCGAAGGCGGUUCUCUGGGCCUUUCCUGACGCUGAGGAGCGAAAGCGUGGGGAGCGAACAGGCUUAGAUACCCUGGUAGUCCACGCUGUAAACGGUGGGUACUAGGUGUGGGGUCCAUUCCACGGGUUCCGUGCCGUAGCUAACGCUUUAAGUACCCCGCCUGGGGAGUACGGCCGCAAGGCUAAAACUCAAAGGAAUUGACGGGGCCCCGCACAAGCGGCGGAGCAUGCGGAUUAAUUCGAUGCAACGCGUAGAACCUUACCUGGGUUUGACAUGGAUCGGGAGUGCUCAGAGAUGGGUGUGCCUCUUUUGGGGUCGGUUCACAGGUGGUGCAUGGCUGUCGUCAGCUCGUGUCGUGAGAUGUUGGGUUAAGUCCCGCAACGAGCGCAACCCUUGUUCACUGUUGCCAGCACGUUAUGGUGGGGACUCAGUGGAGACCGCCGGGGUCAACUCGGAGGAAGGUGGGGAUGACGUCAGGUCAUCAUGCCCCUUAUGUCCAGGGCUUCACGCAUGCUACAAUGGCUGGUACAGAGAGUGGCGAGCCUGUGAGGGUGAGCGAAUCUCGGAAAGCCGGUCUCAGUUCGGAUUGGGGUCUGCAACUCGACUUCAUGAAGUCGGAGUCGCUAGUAAUCGCAGAUCAGCAACGCUGCGGUGAAUACGUUCCCGAGGCU